rnacentral:tRNA from 1 species
CGGAGUGUAGUAUAGUGGCAGUAUACGUGCUUUGGGAGCACGAGGUCUGGGUUCGAUUCCCAGCACUCCGA